rfam:Stegodyphus mimosarum contig34754, whole genome shotgun sequence.
GCCUUCGUGGUGUAAUGGUCAGCACACUGAGCCGGUAUUUCAGAGGUCCGCGGUUCGAUUCCCAGCGAAGGCG